UGUUUGGCUGAACCGUGUCUGUGUGUUUUCCUUCUCUCUCUAACUCUCAGAGACGCUCCCUCUCCCUCCUUUAUGUUCUUUACCAGGAAAGCAGAAAACAUGGUCCUUGAAACCAGGAAAAGCAGAAAACAUAAAGCAGAAAACAUGAUCCUUUCUCCCUCUCUUUCUUCUUUUUUCGUUUGUUCUCUUUCUUCUUCUCCGCUAUUCUCUCUUCAUUCUUCCUCCGUUUUCCUUUUCUCUCUCUAACGCACGUUCUCUCUCUGUUUUUGGUUUUUGUAUUUCUCAGUUUUUUCUUUUUGGCUUUGCUGCAGGAUUGAAAGUGGGUCAUUUUUCACGUUGAUUUGGGGGCUUUCGCAUUGAAAGUGGGUCAUUUUUCACGUUGAUUUGGGGGCUUUCGGUACACAUAUUCUUCUCUUCUCUCUCCGAUUACCGUUUUUUUUUCUCCUUUUCUCUCACUCUCAGACGAACAUCAGGGAAGAUUUCUGUUGUCACUUUUGCUUUGGUUGUUUUCUUGCAAUUCUACUUGAACGCUAUAUGUUUGAUGAAAUAACUAAAUAUAUUUUAGGAGCCCUCGCCGGAUUUCAGUCCCAGCCGCGCCGCCGAUCAUGGAGGAUCUCGCGGCUCGCGGGUUUCUCUCCCGGGUCUAGCUGGUUGCGGCCCACGGACUUCACGGCUUCACGAUCGGGGCUCUACCCUCGCCGGAUUUCAGUCCCACUUCAGUUUUAAAGCAAUGUCCAUGGCCUAUGUGUUGACAGGAAUUGGAAGACCCUCUCAUUCUAAUUCAUGAGAAGAAGAUCUCAAGUUUAAAUGCUGUCAUUAAAGUAUUAGAGCUGGCUUUGAAGAGACAAAGGCCCUUACUAAUUGUUGCCGAAGAUGUGGAAAGUGAGGCUUUGGCAACUCUUAUCCUGAAUAAGCUUCGUGCUGGAAUCAAGGUUUAAUUUUUUAGUUUUUAAUUUUUUAAUUUAAUUUUUUUUUUUUUUGGGUGGUUGAUUUUAUGGGAUAAGUGGAGAUGCUGUCCAGUCCUUGGGUGCUGCAAGGCAUGGAGAAAUGCUGCCAAGUUUAGAGGGAGCUGCAGAUGGCGUGCUGUCCAAGUGUGUCUGCUGGGCGUGCAUGAGGGGAUGGGGCUUGGAUGGACGUGCUGCUUCUUCACGUGCUGUCCGGUUGGGUAGAGCUGCAGCAGGUGGCGUGGAAGAAUGAGCUGCAGGAGGCGUGAUGUCCAUGCUGGAGAAGCUGUCCUUGAGUGGAAGAAUGAGCUGCAGGUGUGAUGAAAAGAGAGGCAUAUUUGGGUUGGAGCUGCAUCUUCUCCAAAGCAAUGAUGGCAUCUCCACUUACUUUAUAGGAACCCCCCUUAAGCGGCUCGCGGGUUUCUCUCCCGGGUCUAGCGGGUUGCGGCCCACGGACUUCACGGCUUCAGGAUCGGGGCUCUACCCUCGCCGGAUUUCAGUCCCAGCCGCGCCGCCGAUCAUGGAGGAUCGGAGCUCCCUGGGUUCGGCUCCCUCUCUCCCGAUCUCUCAGUCUCUCUGCCCUCUCUCUCCGAUCUUUCCCUCAAGUCUCUACCUCAAUCUCUGGCUCUCACUCCCUCUGUCUCUCUGACUCUCUCUCUGUUUCAGUGUAGUCGGGCGAGAAAAGAAGAACAGGGAGAAGAAACAAAGAAGGAAGAAAAAUGAAGAGGGCAUGGGUCCGUCAGUUGUUUGGAUUGGUAGCUAAUAUUUUAAGGUCAUAAUUACAUGCAUUCAAGGAUUUCAAAUGUAACAAAAAAAAAAAAAACGAUAAUUUAAAAUAUUGCAAAAAAAAUGUUUUUGCCACUCUCAAAAUGUUUAUACAAAGUAUAUAUUUCUAG